rfam:Salmo salar isolate Sally breed double haploid chromosome ssa16, whole genome shotgun sequence.
GCCUUCUUGCAGCUCAGUUGGUAGAGCAUGGGUUUUGCAACGCCAAGGUUGUGGGUUCGAAUCCCACGGGGGGCC